rnacentral:tRNA from 1 species
UCCAGGGUAGCCUAGUGGACAUGGCAUCUGCCCGGGGUGUGGAACACUGUGGGUUCGAUUCCCAUCCCUGGAC